rnacentral:rRNA from 1 species
UACGUAGGUGGCAAGCGUUGUCCGGAAUUAUUGGGCGUAAAGCGCGCGCAGGCGGGAUGGUAAGUCGGAUGUGAAAGCCCUCGGCUCAACCGAGGAAGUGCGUUCGAAACUACUGUUCUUGAGUGUCGGAGAGGGUGGCGGAAUUCCCGGUGUAGAAGUGAAAUUCGUAGAUAUCGGGAGGAACACCAGAGGCGAAGGCGGCCACCUGGACGAACACUGACGCUGAGGCGCGAAAGCGUGGGGAGCAAACAGG